rnacentral:rRNA from 1 species
UAGGUUAAGUUAGAAAGGGCGCACGGUGAAUGCCUUGGCACUAGGAGCCGAUGAAGGACGGGACUAACACCGAUAUGCUUCGGGGAGCUGUAAGUAAGCUUUGAUCCGGAGAUUUCCGAAUGGGGAAACCCACUGCUCGUAAUGGAGCAGUAUCUUUACCUGAAUACAUAGGGUAUUGAUGGCAGACCCGGGGAACUGAAACAUCUAAGUACCCGGAGGAAGAGAAAGCAAACGCGAUUCCCUAAGUAGCGGCGAGCGAAACGGGAUUAGCCCAAACCAAGAGGCUUGCCUCUUGGGGUUGUAGGACACUCAACAUGGAGUUACAAAGGAACGGGGUAGAUGAAGCGACCUGGAAAGGUCCGUCAUAGAAGGUAAAAGCCCUGUAGUCGAAACUUCGUUCCCUCCUGAGUGGAUCCUGAGUACGGCCGGACACGUGAAAUCCGGUCGGAAGCAGGGAGGACCAUCUCCCAAGGCUAAAUACUCCCUAGUGACCGAUAGUGAACCAGUACCGUGAGGGAAAGGUGAAAAGCACCCCGGAAGGGGAGUGAAAUAGUUCCUGAAACCGUGUGCCUACAAGUAGUUAGAGCCCGUUAAUGGGUGAUAGCGUGCCUUUUGUAGAAUGAACCGGCGAGUUACGAUUACAUGCAAGGUUAAGUUGAAGAGACGGAGCCGCAGCGAAAGCGAGUCUGAAUAGGGCGAAUUAGUAUGUGGUCGUAGACCCGAAACCAGGUGAUCUACCCAUGUCCAGGGUGAAGUCCAGGUAACACUGGAUGGAGGCCCGAACCCACGCACGUUGAAAAGUGCGGGGAUGAGGUGUGGGUAGCGGAGAAAUUCCAAUCGAACUUGGAGAUAGCUGGUUCUCUCCGAAAUAGCUUUAGGGCUAGCCUCACGUAGUAAGAGUCUUGGAGGUAGAGCACUGUUUGGACUAGGGGCCCUCAUCGGGUUACCGAAUUCAGACAAACUCCGAAUGCCAAAGACUUAUCCGUGGGAGUCAGACUGCGAGUGAUAAGAUCCGUAGUCAAAAGGGAAACAGCCCAGACCACCAGCUAAGGUCCCAAAGUAUACGUUAAGUGGAAAAGGAUGUGGAGUUGCUUAGACAACCAGGAUGUUGGCUUAGAAGCAGCCACCAUUUAAAGAGUGCGUAAUAGCUCACUGGUCGAGUGACUCUGCGCCGAAAAUGUACCGGGGCUAAACGUAUCACCGAAGCUGUGGAUUGACA